rnacentral:ncRNA from 1 species
GGUCGGGUAGCGCGCAGCCAUACAACACCCGGGCAACCGGGAAAAUCUGUGGGCCGUCUGUUUGCGGUGUUGAAGUACCCGGCCGCCCUCUC